rnacentral:rRNA from 1 species
CCGGGAAACCGGGGCUAAUACCGGAUGCUUUUUGAACCGCAUGGUUCAAACAUAAAAGGUGGCUUCGGCUACCACUUACAGAUGGACCCGCGGCGCAUUAGCUAGUUGUGAGGUAACGGCUCACCAAGGCAACGAUGCGUAGCCGACCUGAGAGGGUGAUCGGCCACACUGGGACUGAACACGGCCCAGACUCCUACGGGAGGCAGCAGUAGGGAAUCUUCCGCAAUGGACGAAAGUCUGACGGAGCAACGCGCGUGAGUGAUGAAGGUUUUCGGAUCGUAAAGCUCUGUUGUUAGGGAAGAACAAGUACCGUUCGAAUAGGGCGGUACCUGACGGUACCUAACCAGAAAGCCACGGCUAACUACGUGCCAGCAGCCGCGGUAAUACGUAGGUGGCAAGCGUUUCCGGAAUUAUUGGGCGUAAAGGGCUCGCAGGCGGUUUCUUAAGUCUGAUGUGAAAGCCCCCGGCCAACCGGGGAGGGUCAUUGGAAACUGGGGAACUUGAGUGCAGAAGAGGAGAGUGGAAUUCCACGUGUAGCGGUAAAUGCGUAGAGAUGUGGAGGAACACCAGUGGCGAAGGCACUCUCUGGUCUGUAACUGACGCUGAGGAGCGAAAGCGUGGGGAGCGAACAGGAUUAGAUACCCUGGUAGUCCACGCCGUAAACGAUGAGGCUAAGUGUUAGGGGGUUUCCGCCCCUUAGUGCUGCAGCUAACGCAUUAAGCACCCGCCUGGGGAGUACGGUCGCAAGACUGAAACUCAAAGGAAUUGACGGGGGCCCGCACAAGCGGGGAGCAUGUGGUUUAAUUCGAAGCAACGCGAAGAACCUUACCAGGUCUUGACAUCCUCUGACAAUCCUAGAGAUAGGACGUCCCUUCGGGGGCAGAGUGACAGGUGGUGCAUGGUUGUCGUCAGCUCGUGUCGUGAGAUGUUGGGUUAAGUCCCGCAACAGCGCAACCCUUGAUCUUAGUUGCCAGCAUUCAGUUGGGCACUCUAAGGUGACUGCCGGUGACAAACCGGAGGAAGUGGGGAUGACGUCAAAUCAUCAUGCCCCUUAUGACCUGGGCUACACACGUGCUACAUGGA